UACGGGAGGCAGCAGUGGGGAAUAUUGCACAAUGGGCGAAAGCCUGAUGCAGCUAUGCCGCGUGUAUGAAGAAGGCCUUAGGGGUUGUAAAGUACUUUCAUCGGGGAGGAAAAAACAAAACUAAUAAUUUUAUUUCUUGACGUUACCCGAAAAAGAAGCACCGGCUAACUCCGUGCCAGCAGCCGCGGUAAUACGGAGGGUGCUAGCGUUAAUCAGAAUUACUGGGCGUAAAGAGCACGUAGGUGGUUUUUUAAGUCAGAUGUGAAAUCCCUGGGCUUUAACCUAGGAACUGCAUUUUGAAACUGAAAUACUAGAGUAUCGUAGAGGGAGGUAGAAUUCUAGGUGUAGCGGUGAAAUGCGUAGAUAUCUGGAGGAAUACCUGUGGCGAAAGCGGCCUCCUAAACGAAUACUGACACUGAGGUGCGAAAGCGUGGGGAGCGAAACAGGGAUUAGAUACC
rnacentral:rRNA from 1 species